rnacentral:tRNA from 1 species
GCUGGGAUGGUCGAGUGGUUAAGGCGGUGGACUUAAGAUCCCCCGAGUCGUAUCCUCGCGUGGGUUUGAGCCUUACUUCCAGUA